GAAAAAAAUUGGAAGGGCCACUAUACCAUGAUUCGAUGAAGUCAUGACGAGGCCUUUAACGUUUUAAGGUAUAAAAAUGGGCAGAGGUAGCUCACGUCAUCAUGCUUUCAACAUUAAAACUUACAUGGAAGGUGGUGGGGACUUUGAUGCAUAUGGAGUUCAUAUAGUAGUUACCUGUUAUUAAC